UCUCUAGAGGAGGAUGGUCUGCA
rnacentral:siRNA from 1 species